CAGCCGCCGCGGUAACACGUAGGGUGCGAGCGUUAAUCGGAAUUACUGGGCGUAAAGCGUGCGCAGGCGGUUUUGUAAGACAGGCGUGAAAUCCCCGGGCUCAACCUGGGAAUGGCGCUUGUGACUGCAAAGCUAGAGUGCGGCAGAGGGGGAUGGAAUUCCGCGUGUAGCAGUGAAAUGCGUAGAUAUGCGGAGGAACACCGAUGGCGAAGGCAAUCCCCUGGGCCUGCACUGACGCUCAUGCACGAAAGCGUGGGGAGCAAACAGGAUUAGAUACCCCCGUAGUCCCUGUCUCUUAUAC
rnacentral:rRNA from 1 species